rnacentral:ncRNA from 1 species
CCCCGAAAAAGGCACCUCCGCCGAAAGGCGGACGACGCAAAGCCACGGGUCUACAGGAGGGCGACCUCCCACGACAGCCGGGCUGCCGAG